rnacentral:rRNA from 1 species
CGAUUCCCUACGGGGUGCAGCAGGCGCGCAAACUUUACAAUGCGAGCAAUCGUGAUAAGGAAACCCUGAGUGCCUGUCGAUGCAGGCUGUUCAUAUAUCUAAAUCAUAUGUGAAGAAAGGGCAGGGCAAGACCGGUGCCAGCCGCCGCGGUAAUACCGGCUGCUCGAGUGAUGGCCACUAUUACUGGGUUUAAAGCGUCCGUAGCUUGACUGUUAGGUCUCUUGGGAAAUCUUCACGCUCAACGUGAAGGCGUCUAAGAGAUACCGGCAGUCUUGGAACUGGGAGAGGUAAACCGUACUUCGGGGGUAGGAGUGAAAUCUUGUAAUCCUCGAGGGACGACCUAUGGCGAAGGCAGUUUACCAGAACAGCUUCGACAGUGAGGGACGAAAGCUGGGGGAGCAAACGGGAUUAGAUACCCCGGUAGUCCCAGCCGUAAACAAUGUGCGUUAGGUGUGUCGGUAACCACGUGUUACUGAUGCGCCGAAGAGAAAUCGUGAAACGCACCACCUGGGAAGUACGGUCGCAAGGCUGAAACUUAAAGGAAUUGGCGGGGGAGCACCACAACAGGUGGAGCCUGCGGUUUAAUUGGAUUCNACGCCGGACAUCUCACCGGGUAAGACAGCUGAAUGAUUGUCAAUCUGAAGGUUUUACAUGACUAGCUGAGAGGAA